rnacentral:lncRNA from 1 species
AUCCAACACCACUGGAUUAUUUCCCCCCUGUAAUGUGCUUUAAAGGAAUGACUGGUGAAAAGUGUUUAAAGGGGCAAUGAUCAGAAAGCAUCAGAAAAUAGCACCACUGAAGACACAGGAAGUGGCCACUGAGUGGUUUCUCCACAUACAGAAUGUCCAUUAGCGGAUGCUAAAGCUGCUACUCAGCUAGAAGCCUCCAUAGAGCUUUACUGAAACUGUUUGACUUUCAU